ensembl:snRNA U5 U5 spliceosomal RNA
UAGCUCGGGUUUCUCUUCAUUCACGGACAAAGCUUUCGCCUUUUACUAAAGAUUUCUGUGGAGGGGAACGUUGACGAGUUCUUCUUG